rnacentral:rRNA from 1 species
AUGACCUGGGCUACACACGUGCUACAAUGGGCGGUACAAAGGGCUGCGAACCCGCGAGGGGGAGCGAAUCCCAAAAAGCCGCUCUCAGUUCGGAUUGCAGGCUGCAACUCGCCUGCAUGAAGCCGGAAUCGCUAGUAAUCGCGGAUCAGCAUGCCGCGGUGAAUACGUUCCCGGGCCUU